UAUUACGGAGACUACACAGUUUGUUUUUUACUUUGUUCAGUUUUGAGAGGUCUACUCAAACAUGGAGAAACCAAAUGAAUAAUGGAUAGAAAUUCAUUUUUCUACGCAUUUAGUUGGUUUUGAUAUGAGACGAGACUCUCAAACUUAUGUUGUUCAUUGAAAACUGGAUAUUUGAAGUAAAUUAGUAAUACAAACCGAGAACACCGCGUUGAAUGAGUUUUUUAAUAAGUUCAAUUGCUUAUUUUCUUGAUCGAACUUCUAUCGCUAGAAGAACGAUCAAAACCCAACCGUAAGGUUGAUA
rnacentral:misc_RNA from 1 species